rnacentral:rRNA from 1 species
CUACGUAGGGUGCAAGCGUUAAUCGGAAUUACUGGGCGUAAAGCGUGCGCAGGCGGUUAUUUAAGACAGGUGUGAAAUCCCCGGGCUUAACCUGGGAACUGCACUUGUUACUGCAAGGCUGGAGUACGGCAGAGGGGGGUGGAAUUCCCCGUGUAGCAGGGAAAUGCGUAGAUAUGCGGAGGAACACCGAUGGCGAAGGCAAUCCCCUGGGCCUGUACUGACGCUCAUGCACGAAAGCGUGGGGAGCAAACAGGAUUAGAUACCCUGGUAGUCCACGCCCUAAACGAUGUCAACUGGUUGUUGGACGGCUUGCUGUUCAGUAACGAAGCUAACGCGUGAAGUUGACCGCCUGGGGAGUACGGCCGCAAGGUUGAAACUUAAAGGAAUUGACGGGG